rnacentral:rRNA from 1 species
GAUGAACGCUAGCGGCAGGCUUAAUACAUGCAAGUCGAGGGGUAACAUGGGGUAGCAAUACUCUGAUGACGACCGGCAAACGGGUGCGGAACACGUACGCAACUUUCCCAAAACUGGUGAAUAGCCCUCCGAAAGGAGGAUUAAUACACCGUAACAUAACGAGGUGGCAUCAUCUUGUUAUUAUAGCUCCGGCGGUUUUGGAUGGGCGUGCGCCUGAUUAGGUAGUUGGCGGGGUAACGGCCCACCAAGCCUACGAUCAG